rnacentral:rRNA from 1 species
AGGAAUUGACCGGGGGCCCGCACAAGCGGGAGGAACAUGUGGUUUAAUUUCGAUGAUACGCGAGGAACCUUUACCCGGGCUUGAAACUGCAGUGGAAAGGAUACAGAGAUGUUGACGCCCCUCGGGGCCACUGUGGAGGGUACUGCAUGGUUGUCGUCAGCUCGUGCCGUGAGGUGUCGGCUUAAGUGCCAUAACGAGCGCAACCCCUGUCCCCGGUUGCCAUCAGGCAAUGCUGGGCACUCCGUGGAUACUGCCACCGUAAGGUGCGAGGAAGGUGGGGAUGACGUCAAAUCAGCACGGCCCUUACGUCCGGGGCUACACACGUGUUACAAUGGGAGGUACAGAGCGCCGGGGGUACGCAAGUGCCCUCCAAUCGUUAAAGCCUCCCUCAGUUCGGAUUGGGGUCUGCAACCCGACCCCAUGAAGCUGGAUUCGCUAGUAAUCGCGCAUCAGCCAUGGCGCGGUGAAUACGUUCCCGGGCCUUGUACACACCGCCCGUCAAGCCAUGAAAGCCUGGGGCGCCUGAAGUCCGUGACCGCGAGGGUCGGCCUAGGGUGAAACAGGUGAUUGGGGCUAAGUCGUAACAAGGUAGCCG